rnacentral:rRNA from 1 species
AACGAACGCUGGCGGCAGGCCUAAUACAUGCAAGUCGAACGGAUGUAGCAAUACAUUAGUGGCGCACGGGUGCCUAACGCGUGGGAACAUACCCUUGAGUAAGGAAUAAUGUCUGGAAACGGACACUAAUACCUUAUAAUGACUUCGGUCCAAAGAUUUAUCGCUCAAGGAUUGGCCCGCGUCUGAUUAGCUAGUUGGUGAGGUAACGGCUCACCAAGGCGGCGAUCAGUAGCUGGUCUGAGAGGAUGAUCAGCCACACUGGGACUGAGACACGGCCCAGACUCCUACGGGAGGCAGCAGUAAGGAAUAUUGGACAAUGGAGGAAACUCUGAUCCAGCCAUGCCGCGUGAGUGAAGAAGGCCUUAGGGUUGUAAGCUCUUUCAAUGGUGAAGAUAAUGACGGUAGCCAUAGAAGAAGCCCCGGCUAAAUUCGUGCCAGCCGCCGCGGUAA